rnacentral:rRNA from 1 species
UACGAAGGGGGCUAGCGUUGCUCGGAAUCACUGGGCGUAAAGCGCACGUAGGCGGAUUGUUAAGUCAGGGGUGAAAUCCUGGAGCUCAACUCCAGAACUGCCUUUGAUACUGGCGAUCUUGAGUCCGGGAGAGGUGAGUGGAACUGGCGAGUGUAGAGGUGAAAUUCGUAGAUAUUCGCAAGAACACCAGUGGCGAAGGCGG